GGGAAAGUGUGCUGGACCUCAUCAGGAGACAGAACUCACCAGUACUCAUCCAGUGGUCACUCAGAGCACUCUAUAUUUGACUGGCAUGAUUCAUGACUGGCCUUCUGUGGAGAGAAAGGAUAAGGGAAAAUAAGUGGAAUAAACAUAAGAUAAAGCAAC